UACGGCCAUACCACCCUGAACGCGCCCAAUCUCGUCUGAUCUCGGAAGCUAAGCAGGGUCGGGCCUGGUUAGUGCUUGGAUGGGAGGUCUGCUUUCUUAACACAGUGAGGCCCCAUGCCAACCUUGGCAGCCUUA
ensembl:rRNA 5S_rRNA 5S ribosomal RNA